AACGAAAUAAAAAUUUAACGUGUUUGUUGUCAAUUUGUUUGAGUGGCCACGUAUUACGAUUUACGAAGCGAGGAAAAUAGAAUUGGUGGUGAAUUUGGUGAUAAAGUGGGAACAAUUUGAAUUAAAAUGCUGGAGCCGGAGUCGAUGGCGCGCUACGUGUCGCCGGUCAACCCGUCCGUGUUCCCGCACCUCACCGUCGUGCUGCUGGGCAUCGGCGUCUUCUUCACCGCCUGGUUCUUCGUCUACGAGGUCACCAGCACCAAGUUCACCCGCGACGUCUUCAAGGAGCUGGUGGUGGCGCUGGUCGCCGCCAUCUUCUCGGGCUUCGGGGUGGUGUUCCUGCUGCUCUGGGUCGGCAUCUACAUAUGACAGGUAGUGUCCCCCCGUGGUCGGAGGGCUCCGUCCUGGCCCGGGAGUUCGGGACUGAGCGCAGGCGAUCCCGGGAUUCAGGAUGGCAAAUAAAAACACACAAAAAGAGUUUGUAGGUGUGCUAAGUCUUCAGAAAUGGUGCAAAAGUUUCUUCGAUUAUUAAAACCUAUUACCGAAAAUUAUACGAUACAGACAUUCCAAAAAUGAUUUGUUUUCAUGGCAGUGAUGAAUAUUUGUAAUUUUCAAUUUAUUUUUACUGUUGCGUCAAGAAAUUGUGGUACUUGUGCAUUGUGUGUGAAGACAGUGAACAGUGAAGUACAUCAGAGUGCAUUUCUUUCUAGGGUGCUGUGAUUGUUUUUUUGUUUGCCAAUAUCUCGGAAGAUACAUUACAUGUUGUGUGUUGGUUUGGUUCAUUUCAAACAUGAUUAUGUUUUACGUGCAUUAGUAGUUUGCUGUGUGAUUGUUGGGUGAAGUAAGUUACAUAUAAAAAUUAAUUGAUUUGUUUGAUAAUCAAGUAUAAAGUAGGUACUUUCAAA